AGCAGCAGCCGAAGCAUCAAGCAGACAAUCCCCUCGCCUUUUACUAGGGGAUUCCGUGCUGCUUCGGCAUGACAAUGUUGCCCAGCAAUCUUUGGAAUUUAAUGCUCUUCGAGAGU
rnacentral:snRNA from 1 species